rnacentral:miRNA from 1 species
AUCAGUUUCUUGUUCGUUUCA